ACCCAUUCUUCUGGAGUGAACUUGGGGUU
rnacentral:piRNA from 1 species